rnacentral:lncRNA from 1 species
UUACUCUCUACAGCAAAGUACAAGAGGCACAACCACAUAUAUAAUAGCUAUGCAGCAACGACUAAUAGUUUAAAGCAAAAGCUUCUCUAAAACCAAAGAGAUUGAGUGCUAAAGUACUUUACGCCAAAAUGACAGCAGCCUAGAAUAGUCCACCUAGAGUACUCCAAACAACAUUACCAUACUAAAGCACUUAACUAGGUAACUAAAAUAAUAGGAGAGACAAUUAUUUAAAUAAGGCUUGGUUUACUUUUCCAACAGCCUCCCUUAAACCAAGCUGAGAUCUUCAAACUUCAUCAUUCCCAUUAGCUCCUUCAGCUUCAAGAAAGCAACUGUUUUCAUAGACUUGGUAAAUAUAUCAGCUACUUGAUCUCCAGAUGGACAAUAGUGAACUGCAACCUCUAUCAUCUUCACCAAAUCUCGAAUAUAAUAAUGCUUGACAUGAAUAUGCUUUUCCUCUCAUGAAAAACUGGAUUCUUUGACAAUGAGAUUGCUGAGUUAUUAUCACAGAAGAUUGUUGCAGGAUUUUUAUGUUCUUG